UGUCAGGGUCUCAAUCUAG
rnacentral:misc_RNA from 1 species